rnacentral:tRNA from 1 species
GAUAGAAUGACUGAAAUAAUAGGUAAUAAAUUGUAAAUUUAUUUAUGGUUAAUAAAACCUUCUAUCA